GUGAUGAGGGCAUCAGGGCUUGGGGCGGCUGUAACCAUCAGGAAACAAAUACCUUUUCCUUUCCCUUUCUGCCCACGCCUCUCCCCGCCCUGCUCCUGAAAGAAUCCCCAGUCAUUUGGAGGGAAUAGCCCCAGCAGGCUGUGGGGUACAUGCUCGUACAUCUUUGCAUCCUUUUAGGGGAGGACUGAGGCCCCUUCAAUCCAGAGUUCUCUGCUCAGUGCCCUUGCCCAUGGGGAUGUUGGUCUCCUGAUUGCUUUGGAGGGGGAUCCGUGGGGUCUGGCACAGACAGAUGCUGGGGUUCCCUCAUCACUUCCAUUUCUCAGGAAGGUGGGAUCAUGUUAUCUUUAACCCCCUUUCCGCUGCUCGUGGUCCUCUGGACAGCCCUUCUCCAGCGUCACAAACAUUUGCUCUUGUUAAGGAUUUUCAGCAAUCACUGCCAGAUGCAAUCAGACUCCUUGAAUAGGAGCAACUGAGGCUUGUUUGUGGCUCGGAUUCAUUAGAAUCAGGAGGCUGAAGAAAGGAAUAAAUUACUUAAUUGCACAAAAAAGUUGCAGCCAAAGUGAUGAUGAUCAAGUUGAAUAAAACCCUUGUUGUCCACCUCCUGAAUGCUCCUUCGCACGAGAUGCAGGAAACGGGAAGACCUCACCGGCCUGCCGCGCAGGGACGUGGGCCCCAGCCUGAACUGAGGAGGAGAGAGGGGUUGCUCAAAUGGGGCAAAGAAAGAAAGAAGUUGCUCUAUUUUCUAACCACUGGGAUUCCUUUCUUGCCUCAGACUAACUCUUAAUCUGUUAAAAAAAAUAAAAAUAAAAAGGCACACUGUUAACCAGGGCUGUUCACAUAGAACCAAGGGAGAAGAAACAAAACCGCUCAGAACACUCUCACGUGCUCCGCCCCCCCUUUCUCUGGCACUCCGCGCGUCUCUGGCCGGGGGGCCUCUGUCUCAGGCGUUGCACUCAGGUUUUUGGUCAUGUGCCCGACUUGUGGGUGGUCUUCAAGUCUUGAAGAAGGAACUUCAUUUUCUCUCUGAAGUCCUUGCAUGGCUAGUAGCUGUGUCUCUCUGUCUGUGUGUAUAUGUGUGUGUAUGUAGAGGGUGUGAGAGGAAGAGGUUGAUGCAAGAUGAGGCCCCAGCAGGGAAGAAAUGGGGAAAGAAAUAAUGAAGAUGGAUUUU
rnacentral:lncRNA from 1 species